rnacentral:rRNA from 1 species
AGAACGAACGCUGGCGGCAUGCCUAAUACAUGCAAGUCGAACGAACUCUUCGGAGUUAGUGGCGCACGGGUGCGUAACGCGUGGGAAUCUGCCCCUUGGUUCGGAAUAACAGUUGGAAACGACUGCUAAUACCGGAUGAUGACGAAAGUCCAAAGAUUUAUCGCCAAGGGAUGAGCCCGCGUAGGAUUAGCUAGUUGGUGAGGUAAAGGCUCACCAAGGCAACGAUCCUUAGCUGGUCUGAGAGGAUGAUCAGCCACACUGGGACUGAGACACGGCCCAGACUCCUACGGGAGGCAGCAAGUAGGGAAUAUUGGACAAGUGGGCGAAAGCCUGAUCCAGCAAUGCCGCGUGAGUGAUGAAGCCGUUAGGUUGUAAGCUUCGUUUACCGAG